rnacentral:rRNA from 1 species
GAUGAACGCUGACAGAAUGCUUAACACAUGCCAGUCUUUGGCGAAGCUGUGCUUGCACAGCCUAGCCAAGGCGGACGGGUGAGUAACGCGUAAGGAACUUGCCCUGCAGUCAGGGAUAACAGACGGAAACGACUGAUAAGACCUGGUAAAGUCAGGCGGACUCAUGUCCAGCCUGAUGAAAAGAGAUGCUGCAGGAGAGCCUUGCGUCCUAUUAGCUUGUUGGUGGGGUAACGGCCCACCAAGGCGAUGAUAGGUAGCCGGCCUGAGAGGGUGGACGGCCACAAGGGGACUGAGAUACGGCCCUUACUCCUACGGGAGGCAGCAGUGGGGAAUAUUGGACAAUGGGGGCAACCCUGAUCCAGCAAUUCUGUGUGCACGAUGAAGGUUUUCGGAUUGUAAAGUGCUUUCAGCAGGGAAGAAAAAAAUGACGGUACCUGCAGAAGAAGCGACGGCUAAAUACGUG